rnacentral:rRNA from 1 species
CACGUAGGGGGCGAGCGUUUGUCCGGAUUUAUUGGGCGUAAAGAGCUCGUAGGCGGCUCAGUAAGUCAGGUGUGAAAACUCCAGGCUCAACCUGGAGACGCCACUUGAUACUGCUGUGGCUAGAGUCCGGUAGGGGAGCAUGGAAUUCCUGGUGUAGCGGUGAAAUGCGCAGAUAUCAGGAGGAACACCAGUGGCGGAAGGCGGUGCUCUGGGCCGGAACUGACG